UCCUCCAGUAUGGUGGCUAUGGCUCUCGGCUUAUAUCUGAGUGGACUCGGGUUCGAAUCCCGAAUAAAGAAUGGAUGAA